GAUGAACGCUGGCGGCGUGCCUAAUACAUGCAAGUCGAACGCAUAGCGAAAGGUGCUUGCACCUUUCAAGUGAGUGGCGAACGGGUGAGUAACACGUGGACAACCUGCCUCAAGGCUGGGGAUAACAUUUGGAAACAGAUGCUAAUACCGAAUAAAGCUUAGUGUCGCAUGACACAAAGUUAAAAGGCGCUUCGGCGUCACCUAGAGAUGGAUCCGCGGUGCAUUAGUUAGUUGGUGGGGUAAAGGCCUACCAAGACAAUGAUGCAUAGCCGAGUUGAGAGACUGAUCGGCCACAUUGGGGCUGAGACACGGCCCAAACUCCUACGGGAGGCUGCAGUAGGGAAUCUUCCACAAUGGGCGAAAGCCUGAUGGAGCAACGCCGCGUGUGUGAUGAAGGCUUUCGGGUCGUAAAGCACUGUUGUAUGGGAAGAACAGCUAGAAUAGGAAAUGAUUUUAGUUUGACGGUACCAUACCAGAAAGGGACGGCUAAAUACGU
rnacentral:rRNA from 1 species